rnacentral:rRNA from 1 species
CAGGCCUAACACAUGCAAGUCGAACGCCCCGCAAGGGGAGUGGCAGACGGGUGAGUAACACGUGGGAACGUACCCUUUGGUUCGGAACAACCCUGGGAAACUAGGGCUAAUACCGGAUACGCGCGAGAGCGGAAAGGUUUACCGCCGAAGGAUCGGCCCGCGUCUGAUUAGCUAGUUGGUGAGGUAACGGCUCACCAAGGCGACGAUCAGUAGCUGGUCUGAGAGGACGAUCAGCCACAUUGGGACUGAGACACGGCCCAAACUCCUACGGGAGGCAGCAGUGGGGAAUAUUGGACAAUGGGCGCAAGCCUGAUCCAGCCAUGCCGCGUGAGUGAUGACGGCCCUAGGGUUGUAAAGCUCUUUUACCUGGGAAGAUAAUGACGGUACCAGGAGAAUAAGCCCCGGCUAACUUCGUGCCAGCAGCCGCGGUAAU